CUGCUUUGGAUUCUCUUUUUUUUAAACAAAGGACAACAUAAUCAGAAAAUGUGAGAGAACGCAUUCAUCUUCCUCACAAAGAAACUCUCUCUCCCUCACUCGUACUCAUCACCUCUCCAUCUCUCUCAACCUAAAAUUUUCGUACCUCUCUCAACCGCUUCCAAAUCGCGUCUCUCUCACCCUCAACCAUCUCAAACCUUCGUACUCACCUCUCUCCCAAUCGCUUCCAAUCGCGUCUCUCUUCUCACGAACUCGCUCUCAAUCUCUUCUUCGCUCUCAAUCUCUUCUUCUCACCAAAAACCCCUCUCUCGCGUACGACAAAAAAAAUCAAUGGCUGAACAAAACAAAAAAAGCUCACCUUCGGACCUUCGACGGCAACGACAGCUCAGGGUUUCGGUUGGUGUAUAAAGAUUCAAAGGAGAAAGCUUUCAGAAGUGCUUUUUCAUGCUCAGAAGUGCUUCUAUCUUGUUUGAUGCUAUCUUCCGGAAAGGUUAAUGGCUUGGAACUAGAAAUUUGCAUUAGCUUGCUCUUGCUUCAGGGUCCAUGUUUUGCAGCAUGUUCUACUGUUUGGGUUCAUGCUCAUUCUGACCAUCUGCUCAUGAAGUGGAUAAUGGCAUAAAACAAGAUAACCUCAAGUUCACCCUUUGAAAUGCUCUGCGGGAGCUAUGCAGGUACGAAGAAGCAAGGGAGGAAGAGAAAUUGCGUAGUCAACGAGAAGAUUUCAGUGACAUGGUGGCAGAGGGGCGGACAAUGAGAGGCUCAGUCUGUAGAGUUGCCUUGGCCUCAACCAGUUUUGCUUGUGCUCUUUCAUAUAGUCCUGGAGAUCCAUCAAAUAAAUGGAAACGAGCAGAUGUGUCUUCACAACGGAUUUCAGGUGCCGUAACCAUUGGAUUCUUGAAACAUUAUGGAUUUUAGGCUUUAUCAACACAUAUCUUUGCUCCAAAGGUUUGGGAUACUUGAACAAGGAUGUCUUCCUGACCCAGGACAUCACAGGUAGGAUACACUUUCGAUGCAUCAGGAUGCUUCCAUAUACAAUUAACAACCUUUUUUUUCCUUCCGUCCUACAUACUUAUCAGGUGAAUUGAGAAGACAUUCAAGGUUGAGUCUGCAAUCUCCUGUGUGUAAAAUAUUCCCAAAUUGGCCUUCAACUCUUUUGUUUUAAUCUGUUAUGGUGUUGAUUGCUUUAGGUAUUUUUGCAGGAUGUUACAGGUUGUUGCUGUCAUGAAACUUACCAUGGAACCGAUUUUAUUAUGCAGGUCGUGGAUUCCGAGUCUUCAAAGCAAAGCAAAAUGGCUUGGCGCGUUGCGAACUCCAUACCAGCUGUUGUUGGAUUCGUACCGUGGUCUUCAAAGAGACAUAAUUAUGAUUGAAUUGCACUGUAACUUGUAUUGUUUGAAAUGUAUUCUAACAACCACGUAACACUUUUGUUCAAAAUGGAAGGCUCUUUGCAAUUAAGGAAUAGCAUUUCAAUUGUCUCCAAUCAAAUUUUCAUGCUUAUUUUGCGUCACUUGUGAAACAAAAAACAA